rnacentral:snoRNA from 1 species
UUUUAAUGAUGACACAAGAUGACGAGGCUGAUUUAUACCAGGAUAUACAUCAAGAAGUAGUUUUUACUUUCUUUGUACUUCUAUGGUAUUGGCAUUGAUGUAACAUCGAGGCAUUUGUCUGAAAAAA